rnacentral:rRNA from 1 species
GGCGGAGGUGGGUAAAGCAAAGUUAAGGUAAGUAGGAGGAGGCCAGGAGAGGGGUUAAUUCUGGUCGGCGCUGGCGGCGGCGGCUGCUGAGGGGGAGGCCGUGGGCUUUACCGCACUAGGGGCGGGAGCUAAGGGGAGCGGGGGGCGGCAAGUUUAUGGAGGGGCAGGUGGCGCUGGGGAGUGGGGGGGUAGGGACUUAGCGCCUCUAGGGGCGUAGGGCCGCGGGGGCUUGGGAUUGGGAUCGGUGGGGGAGGGGGUGGUACUUCCGGAGGUAGUUCAAGGCGCUGCUGCUGGCCGGCGACGACGCGCGGUUCCACGGGUAGCCGCACGAACCCGACGGCAAGGAGAGGCCGCAGAGCCGGCCGCCGCUGAGGCUCCUGGAGGCGAAGCUGGAGAGGUGGCGGAAGGGGAGGCCGGGCCCCGAGGCGGACAGGAUGGCGGGGUUGCUGGGCGAGGUCGGGAAGCGCGAGAGGUAGGCGUGCCCGGAGCCGCACGAGCCGAGGGGGUAGGCGCGGGGGAACCGCGAGAGGCGGCUCAAGUUGGAGGAGAGGAGGUUGGGCGGGCGGAAGAGCGAGGAGAAGUUCGGGGCCGAGCCGCUGAAGAGGGAGCGGUUGAGGCAGGCGAGCGGCGGGCAGGGGCUGAGGGGGCGCGACGGCGACAGGGUGUUCGACAGGCUGGAGUGGUUGCCGCUGCUGGUGCUGGUACUCCCGGUGUUCCUCAAGAGGGAGUUGCCCUUGCCCAAGCGCCGCUUGCGGUGCCGGCGGCCCUUGUGGCCGCCUCCCCACCCGUACGACGACAGGCCCUACGCGGAGUGGUGGUCCUCGUACGACGGCGACACCUUGUCCCGCUCAGACUCCAAGGUCACCCCCGACGCACACGGUGGUCUCGACUUCCGGCGCGAGCGUCUGCUACCUAUACCCGCCUUCCGCCCUUCGGACCGACAGUCGUUCGACGGCGACGAGCAGUACUUGUUCUAGUGAUAACUUGUCUGUGGUGCGGUCGUAGGCUUCAGACUUCUCCUGUUCUUCCCCUUCUCGCGCGGACAUCGGGUCCCUCUCCUUAAGAGUAACGACUUCUCCGUCGACCUCCGGGACUUGCUACUCUCGUAGUACGACGCCGUGUGACACCUCCCGGACGCACGACUCUAACCCCAGUUGGCUCGAUAGAGUCAAGGGUCGUUUCCGCUACGAGCUUCCUACGGCCGUAACAGCGGCGGAGACGUCUGAUGAAAGGGACACUUCGGACUAGAGGUACCUUUACCCUUCCUCGACCGCCGGCCACCUGGCUUACUACGCUCGCUCCUCGACUUCUUCCGUGAGCUCCGGGCCUCCUUCACUCGGUAAUGACGUAAUCACGAACGACUGUAACGUUCGAGACGUUAAAAUGUAUAUAUAAAACUAGAAUUAUUACAUCCAGCCAUCCGUCAAACGUAGGAACUCACCUUGGUUUGCUGUAAGAGUAUUCCACUAAGUCAUUAAAAGGUACAAAAGGUACAGCGAGCACAAUCCUAUACGGUAAUACAUAUUUGGAAACAAAAGACAGAAACGUUGAAGGACAAUCAUCUCCAAAGUUUAAGAUAACACUACAAGUCUUAGGAAAACAACUGGUCUACGGUAAGACCUCCGUAAAACCAUUUGAACCAACGACACUAUCGAAACACGUUCACCUCCGUAAAACCAUUAGAACUAGGCCGUAGAUACACGUUCACACGGAUCAACGUCAAUUUUAGACCCCGGUUGAAAACGAAACGGAGUCUUUCACCGUCCUUAGUUCCUCGGACUUUCGCUCUUGUCCCUUUUACUUACUAGACUGAGGUGUCAUUUGUGAAAGUUUUAUGAAUUCCUUACCAGGAUCACCAUGAUGAUCUUCUAUUCAUCUUCUCAAUACAUUGUCAGAAGUUGUCAUUCUACGAAGAAACACACGACGAUACGAAACUACUCACAUCAUAAAUUCCUCAGCUACGAGGACAGCGGAAGUAGGCGAACGACCAUUUUAGACUUUGAUUGGAAACGUAGGCCGUAGGUUUCUCAAGGAGGUCAUUGCUUCCAAGGAGGACUUUAUGUUUUAACUACGUUUAUGACCAGACUGUACCCGCCGAGCAAAUUUUGGAGAAUAAAAUCUUUGUUCAACCAAAUUUUGAACCACACGAUCUUAGGACUUGAGUGAUGAACUUUUUUUUUUAUGAAGGUAGUGAGAAAGUAGGUCUUUCUUCUAACUGCCAUCUAUACGUGAGCAUCUGAGUAAACGUCAUUUUGUCCUCCAACGUUGGGUCAGUCCGGGGUGGACAGUCGGUCGCUUGGUUUACCUGUGGCGACCGGUCUAAGUUUAUUAAAGGUACGGGACCUUCAAACGUCACACAUGAGACUCGUAGUCCGCAAGGCUGCCAGUCUAUGAUGGUGACGAAACCUAGUCAAAUCGAGUCACUGCGCGACGUUGUCAAGUUGACACGAAACAUUGGAACGCGCGAAACCGUGCAGUCCGAUUGCCAUCACCGCACCGGCUAGUCACUAGUCCCCCCCCGUCAUACCCGUAAUGCGUCCUUAACCGGGCGCCACCCGGGGCCAAACUUUUACCGGGAGGGAGAUGCCGAGGUGGGUGGAGAAAAGAUAAACGGGUUUACCGCUUUUGCGGGGACUCUUUGGUCCUUUAGCGGACGCGCGCGCCGAUACUUGAGACCCGGCAUAGGCAGGAAGGCUAUUUUUAGUUUAGCCUCCGCUCCCUCCCUGCUCCUCCUUUUCCUUUUCCGACUGCUGCCCUUUUUUUAAACUGCCUCCUCCCGCACCCCCUCCCUUGGAUGGUCGGACUCUGCCGUGGUGGUGGCGGCCGCCGAAGGAGCGCUCUCUCGUGCCGUGCCACGUCUCCCGACCCCGCGUACCGCCCGCCUAGUCUGCCGGGGCUGCACAGCCGGCCGCCGCUCUAGACCCCGUGCGACCUCCUCGACGACGACCGCAAGCGGCACACGGCCGUGCCGUGCCGGUCGACCCUGAGCCACCGGUGCCUCCACGUCCGCGCCACGGGCGAGCGGCGGGCGGGGGCGGAGUGCGGGCCGUCGACGGCGGAGGCGAAGGUGGUCGAGGUGGCUGCGAAGAGGCGGCCGCCGCCCCGCCUCCUCCUCCUCGUCCUCCUCCCCCUCCAGCCGGGACUCCGGCUCCGGCUCCGGAGGCGGCGGCUGCCCACCGACCUGCUCGAGGCCGCGGAGGCGCAGCGGCUCGAGGCCGCGCUCCAGCUCGCUACGCUAGAGAGGUAGCCCAUUUUGCUAAUAUGAGGUCAUCAAAUGGGCUUGGCUAUUUUGGUGGCAAACUUGACUUCCCUUUGGUAAGUGGCGCGCGGAGCACCGGGCAGGCUACCGCCUAGGACGCCGGCGGUAAAAAGGUCUCGUGCUACAAAUAAAUAAAUGAACAACCAAAACAAAAAUGAACACUGUCCUGCAACGUCUCGUUCCACCUCGACUACUUCCUCCUCGCCCUCGCCUCGGACAGCUCGCCGCUCCGCUUCGGCCUCCCCCACUGGCCGCUGCUCUUGCACAGCUCGCUCCUCGGGCCCGCCAGCACGGCCCUCAGGUUGAGGUGUCUAGACUUCGCGGGGCCGCGGCGGCGGUUCCGCCGCCUCCUCCGCCGGUUCCUCCUCGACAGGCCCCUCAGGUUCCUCUCGCGCCACUCGGACGUCACGGCCGCCGCCUUCCGCUCGCGGCUGCUCCUCCGGCUGCUCGGCGACCGGCGGGACGAGCUGUCCCAGCGGCGGUCCAAGCCGGGGCACAAGCUGGUCGAUGUCCUCUCGGUCCUCUCGCUCAGCAUGGCCCCGUGCUAGUCCGCCGUGCACCUGGACCUCCGGUACGCGGCCUUCGACCUGCCGCGCCGCCCGAUGCGGUCGUCGCGGCUCGAGAUGGCACUGGACGACGACGAGACGCGGUUGCGGCGGCAGAUGGAGGGCGCGGUGCGCGGGCUGGUGCGGCGGCGGCGCGAGUUGCGGGAGGCGGAGCAGAGGCGCGUCCAGAGGCGGAGCGAGGCGCUCCGGGGCCGGUUCGCCCUCGGCGGCUCGCCGCGAUUAGGGGGUGGCCGCGGCCGCCGCCCCGGCCUGAGCGCCUCCCGGCUCCGGCUGUAGCAGCCCGGCGACUAGGUCUUCCGACGGUUCGGCGAGUAGAAGACGGCGUUCUCCUCGAGGUAGCGGUUCCGACGGCGCCGCCGCCGGCAGCGCUCCUUCCUCCUCCGGCGCCUCUUCGCCCUGUACCUCCUCCUCCGCCUCUCGCUGCCGCUCUUCUUCCGGCGGGACCGGCGCCGCCGGUUCCCGUUCCGCACCCCGUGACCCUGCUUCUUCUGGGCCCCUGGGCCGUUCUUGAGGCGAGACUCGGCGUUCUUCCGCCGCCGUCGACGCCUCCUUCGCCGACGCCGACGCCGCCGCCGACUGUUCUUCCUGUUGCCCCUGAGCCUGCCCCGCCGGCGGCCACCCGACGGGUUCUUCGCCUAGCGGCACCUGAAGGACUUCGCCGACUUGGUCCCGUUCAGCAGCGGGGGCUUCUUCUCUCCCAGCGGCGACUGCUUCGCCUUCGCCAGCCGCGGCCGCGGCCUCCUCCUCCUCCUCGUCGGGUUCCGGUCCUCCCCCCGUCCGUCCUUCUUGUGGCCGGCGCCACCGAGGUUCCGUCCUCGGUUCCGAUCGCGCUGCUUCUUUUCGCAGCCCGCCGGUGUCUUUGCCCCGCGACGAGGCCGCUGCGGCGGCGGCCGUUUCUCCCGGUUCCACUUGUCCAGCCUCUCCAGGAGCAGCAGCAGCUCCGCUCCUCCUUCCUUCAUCAGCGUUCGAUCUACAUCGGCCAUCUCGAAUGCAUCAUCAUAAUCCUUCACACACUAUCGAAGUCGACACACAUUUAGUACAUCACACGAACGUGACAAUCCUGUGAGUGGUGACUUGACUGCUGUACAACAUUAGCCUGACUGUCUAGCUUG